rnacentral:rRNA from 1 species
UAAAGGUUUGGUCCUGACCUUAUUAUCUACUGUUACUUAACUUACACAUGCAAGUAUCCGCACACCCGUGAGAACGCCCUUUAUUCUUCUUACAGGAUUAGGAGCCGGUAUCAGGCACAGAAUUCUUGCCCAUAACACCUAGCCACGCCACACCCUCAAGGGUACUCAGCAGUGAUAAACAUUGUUAAUAAGCGCCAGCUUGACUCAGUUAAAGUAAACAGAGCCGGCCAAUCCGGUGCCAGCCGCCGCGGCUACACCGUCGGGCCCAAGUUGAUAAACAUCGGCGUUAAGAGUGAUUAAAGUUCCAACCUACUAGAAUUAAAUUUUAACCAAGUCGUGACACACUUGUUCUUAAGAAACCCAAAAACGAAAGUUAUUCUAAAAAUAGCCACUUGAAUCCACGAUAGCUAAGAAACAAACUGGGAUUAGGUACUCCACUAUGCUUAGCUGUAAAAUAUCCACUUACACCUGAACCGCCUGGGAAUUACGAGCUCAAGCUUAAAACCCAAAGGACUUGACGGUGUCCCACCCACCUAGAGGAGCCUGUUCUAUAAUCGAUUCCCCCCGAUUUACCUCACCACUUUUUGCCUAUCCAGCCUGUAUACCUCCGUCGUAAGCUUACCAUAUGAACGACUCUUAGUGAGCCAUAAGAUUAUUACAUCAACACGUCAGGUCAAGGUGCAGCCCACAAAGUGGAAAGAAAUGGGCUACAAUUUCUAACCUAGAACACACGAAAGACUACAUGAAACACAGCCAUGAAGGUGGAUUUAGUAGUAAAAAGAAAAUAGAGCGUUCUUUUUAACCAGGCGCUGGGACGCGUACACACCGCCCGUCACCCUCUUCAAACGCCAACAAAAGUUUUUAACACAACUAAGCACAAUAGAAGAGGUAAGUCGUAACACGGUAAGCGUACUGGAAAGUGCGCUUGGACUAACAAA